CCUUCUUUUUCUCGCUUUUUUCGGAAUUACUGGGCGUAAAGCGCACGUAGGCGGCUUUGCAAGUUAGAGGUGAAAGCCCGGGGCUCAACUCCGGAAUUGCCUUUAAAACUGCAUCGCUAGAAUUGUGGAGAGGUAAGUGGGAUUCCGAGUGUAGAGGUGAAAUUCGUAGAUAUUCGGAAGAACACCAGUGGCGAAGGCGACUUACUGGACACAUAUUGACGCUGAGGUGCGAAAGCGUGGGGAGCAAACAGGA
rnacentral:rRNA from 1 species